ACUAUCUCUUAUCUAUGGUCCAGUCUCCAAACAAAUAUAAGAAAUUUUGUACAAAAGUAAAUCAAAUAUUUUUGUAAGUGUUUGUGGUACAUAGUCGUAUGUAUGCGAGAAGAUGCCCAGUUCUUUACACCGGAGACUGCGUAUUUAAUAAUCAAUAUUUAAAAUUAAUAAUGGUAAACGCUUGUUGUGCUCCCAACUGUAGGGGUAAUUAUAACAAUGGACCAAAAGUGGCAAUAUUCUCAUUCCCAAAAGAUGAGGUUUUGCGGAAACAAUGGAUUAAAGGAAUAAAAAGAGAACCUUCAUUUAUUCCAACAAAAAACACUAAGGUAUGUGAGCUUCAUUUUAAACCCUUUGAGAUUGAAAGAGUUACAACCUGCACUAUUGAAUCAACCGGAGAGGUACUAACAGCCAAAUUAAAAAAACCUCGUUUGAUCAAAGGUGCGGUACCGUCUAUCGUCUUGUCCAUCUAAACCCAAAUGUGAUCACAGGGGAAGUUCUGUGGCAAAAGGGCAAAAAUUAAAUAUAACACAUUGAGCAAGCAGUAGGUGAAAAUCUUGAGACUGAAUCCAAUUAUGUGGAUAAAAUAAGAUUUACCGACUUUUAAAUAGGGUUUGAAAAGAUAACAUAUGCUAAUGUGGAAAGGUA